rnacentral:rRNA from 1 species
AGAACGAACGCUGGCGGCAAGCCUAACACAUGCAAGUCGAACGGACAAUUAUUUAUAGCCUCUGGCUAUAGGAAAUUGUUAGUGGCAGACGGGUGAGUAAUGCGUAGGAAUCUACCUAGUAGUACGGAGUAGCCAUUAGAAAUGGUGGGUAAUACUGUAUAAUCCCCGAGGGGGAAAGAUUUAUCGCUAUUAGAUGAGCCUACGUUAGAUUAGCUAGUUGGUGAGGUAAUGGCUUACCAAGGCUAUGAUCUAUAGCUGGUCUGAGAGGACGAUCAGCCACACUGGAACUGAGAUACGGUCCAGACUCCUACGGGAGGCAGCAGUGGGGAAUAUUGGACAAUGGGCGAAAGCCUGAUCCAGCUAUGCCGCGUGAGUGAAGAAGGCCUUCGGGUUGUAAAACUCUUUCAAUAGGGAAGAUAAUGACGGUACCUAUAGAAGAAGUCCCGGCAAACUCUGGGCCAGCAGCCGCGGUAAUACG